rnacentral:rRNA from 1 species
UACGGAGGGUGCAAGCGUUAUCCGGAUUUACUGGGUUUAAAGGGUGUGUAGGCGGGCUGUUAAGUCAGUGGUGAAAUCUCCGGGCUCAACCCGGAAACUGCCAUUGAUACUAAUGGUCUUGAAUUUUGUUGAGGUAGGCGGAAUAAGUCAUGUAGCGGUGAAAUGCAUAGAUAUGACUUAGAACACCAAUUGCGAAGGCAGCUUGCUAAACAAAGAUUGACGCUGAGGCUCGAAAGCGUGGGGAUCAAACAGG